AUGACUCUGACAGAGUUGCUGAAGCAGCCAGGGGAGGGAGGGGGCGCGGAUGGGCAUGGCGGUCACCACCCCAUAGGAACCAACGGCAUCUCUGCCAGAACCCUGCGCUCCAAAAACGAUCAUAACCACCUGAACAAUGCAGCUUUGCCCCCUCUGGGUCCUGCCAUGGCACUGUCCCAUCCCCACAACAACCUGGGCAUCGGCUUCAACAAGUACACAUCCCUCAAGGCUGUGGACUCCACGGCGGGCCGGGACUACUACAAGAGCUACCCCAUGGUGGACUACGGCCACCGCCAGUCCCCGCCCUCCUUCCAGCCCGUCUCCUUCCACCCCAAGGACAAGCCCUUCCUCCCGCCGCCGGACAUCCACGCACCCCUGGCCCUCACCCUGGCCAACGCCUCGCAGAUCCCCAAGCCCAAGAUCGCCAAGACCAACACGCACCCGCUCACCUCCAGCUCGGCCUUCAAAGCCUGGGACCCCAGUAAGAGCCACCCCGGCAGCUCGUCCCCGCACCCGGGACAGAUCCACAUGGGCCUGCCGGCAGGGCUGAUGGCGCAGCAGCAGCAGCAGCAGCAGCAGCAGCACCAUCAGAUGCACCAGCAUCAGCAACAUCACCUUCUCAACUCUCAGGUAGGCCCUCCAUGGCUGUUGCUCAAAGGUAACUCGACUUCUACACGUGUUUAGCUAUUUCGCUCAACGGUCAAGCCGUCAAGCCUACAUUCAAAAGUGGACUGAUCUACCGACAUAAAAUAAAAUAAACAACUGUAGAGGUAGCUGUCGGAAUAAAUGUACAAUGUGAGAAUGUGUAGUUGUUUAUUAACAUAAUAGUUGCAUUCAAGAUGUUAUGUGUUUUCAGACAAAGUGUGUUUCUGGACUGAUUAUACAACAGCUUAAACAAUAUGAGAUUCAGCACAAGUAAUACACAUGCUCAUAUAAUCUGGUGCACCCCUACCAUCUGAAUGUUCUGAAUGGUGGAAGUUUGUUCUCCCGGUGCCUUAUUUAGCGAUUACAAGGCAUACAGCCGGAACAACUCGAGGCUUGAGUAGUUUUUUAAAUCUAGGUUAAAAGACAUGAAAGGCAAAUCUCAAAAUGUUUUAUUUAAAAUAUUAAGCCUGUGAGUUCCCCUUCUACCUCUUCCCUUCUUCCUCUGCUUUCCACGCUUACACAUUUCUUUUAGUAGGAUUUUGAUUCUUCUCAGGAAGCUUUUUUGAUGCCUUUAAAUCAUUCUACAAUUGAACCACUGUCUCCUCAAUUUAAUUAAAUUCAAAGUCAUGGGAAACAUGUUAACAUUACCAAAGCAAGUAAAAUGUCUCUCUGUCUCUCUCUCGCUCUCCAUUUCCUUCUCUCUUUCUAUCUCUAUCCCUCCCCCCUCCCUUUUUCUCUCUCAGUUUCCUUAACUGGAGGAACGGAAUGGUUGUGGGUCAAAUGCAAUAAAAUAUAAUGUAAUGUAAAGUAACUCAUUCUCUCCAUGUCUGUGUUUUGU
rnacentral:lncRNA from 1 species